rnacentral:rRNA from 1 species
GAUGAACGCUAGCUACAGGCUUAACACAUGCAAGUCGAGGGGUAACGAGAGGAAAGCUUGCUUUCCUUGUCGACGACCGGCGCACGGGUGAGUAACGCGUAUCCAACCUGCCCCCAACUAGGGAAUAACCUUGCGAAAGUAAGACUAAUACCCUAUAAUUUCCUCAGAUGUCAUCUGACGAGGAAUAAAGAUUUAUCGGUUGUGGAUGGGGAUGCGUCUGAUUAGCUUGUUGGCGGGGUAACGGCCCACCAAGGCAACGAUCAGUAGGGGUUCUGAGAGGAAGGUCCCCCACAUUGGAACCGAGACACGGUCCAAACUCCUACGGGAGGCAGCAGUGAGGAAUAUUGGUCAAUGGGCGGAAGCCUGAACCAGCCAAGUAGCGUGCAGGAUGACGGCCCUAUGGGUUGUAAACUGCUUUUAUACAGGAAUAAAGUUAGCCACGUGUGGUUAUUUGUAGGUACUGUAUGAAUAAGGACCGGCUGAUUCCGUGCCAGCCGCCGCGGUAA